CCCGGGCCUUGUACACACCGCCCGUCACACCACGAAAGCGGGCAACACCUGAAGCCGCUGGGCUAACCGGGUAACCGGAGGCAGGCGUCGAGGGUGGGGUCGGUGAUUGGGGUG
rnacentral:rRNA from 1 species